rnacentral:rRNA from 1 species
GACGAACGCUGGCGGCGUGCUUAACACAUGCAAGUCGAACGGAAAGGCCCUGCUUUUGUGGGGUGCUCGAGUGGCGAACGGGUGAGUAACACGUGAGUAACCUGCCCUUGACUUUGGGAUAACUUCAGGAAACUGGGGCUAAUACCGGAUAGGAGCUCCUGCGCCAUGGGGGGGGUUGGAAAGUUUCGGCGGUUGGGGAUGGACUCGCGGCUUAUCAGCUUGUUGGUGGGGUAGUGGCUUACCAAGGCUUUGACGGGUAGCCGGCCUGAGAGGGUGACCGGCCACAUUGGGACUGAGAUACGGCCCAGACUCCUACGGGAGGCAGCAGUGGGGAAUAUUGCACAAUGGGCGGAAGCCUGAUGCAGCAACGCCGCGUGCGGGAUGACGGCCUUCGGGUUGUAAACCGCUUUCGCCUGUGACGAAGCGUGAGUGACGGUAAUGGGUAAAGAAGCACCGGCUAACUACGUG